CGUCGGACCCGGCACAGAGGAGACGAGAACCCAAGCAGACCGACCGACCGACCCCCGCACCCCACCGGCAGUAGCACGCGCCACCGUCCCUCCCCACCAUCCCCGAUCCACCCCGCGGCGAUCGAUGGCGCUCCCGUCGGGCGGCGGCUCCACGGCGCGUCUGCUCACCGUGCCGGCGCUGCUCCUCCUGCUCUCCUGCGCCGCGCUCCUCGUCUUCCUCCUCCUCCCGUCCCCCUCCGCCUCCUCCGGGGCCCACCUCUGCGCCUGCUCCGACCCCGUCACCACCCACACCACCACCAGCGUCACCACCACCACCACCACCGCCGCCCCGGCCCCCAUCGCCACCUCCCCCGACGACGUCGCCUGGCUCAAGGCGCAGCUCGCCUCCAACUCCCUCGCCCUCCUCGCCUCCGCCGACGCCUGGCACGAGCUCCGCAAGGGCAUCAACCCCCGCACCCGCGAGCGCCAGCUCUUCGACCUCAACAGGCACCAUGGGAUCUCUCAUUAUCCGGAAGAAGAGGCGACCAACCACACUGCGCUGCCUUGCCCCGGGGAGCUCCUCGUCGAGGAGCACCACAGUAACUAUGGCGAGCCAUGGGCCGGUGGCCGGGAUGUGUUUGAGUUCCUGGCCAACGCCUCCGCCCUCGCGCCCAGAGAUCAGGUCCUUGAAAUUGGGUGCGGGACGCUCCGUGUCGGUCUGCAUUUCAUCCGGUUCCUCGAUGCUGGGAGAUUCCAUUGCCUGGAGCAGGAUGAGCUGUCCCUCAUGGCUGCGCUUCGGUACGAACUGCCGUCGCAGGGGCUGUUGUACAAGCGACCGAUGAUUGUGAGAGGGGGGGAUAUGGAUUUCAGCAAGUUUGGGGAUACUGUUAUGUAUGACCUUAUUUAUGCUAGCGCCGCGUUCCUCCACAUUCAUGAUGAUCUUGUUUGGACUGGCCUUGAGAGGCUUGCAGGAAAGCUGAGGCCACAGACAGGCAGGAUUUUUGUGUCACAUAACAUUAAGUUUUGCUCAAGAAAGGGUGGUGAUGUGUGCACACGUAUGCUUACGGAUUUGGGUCUGGAAUAUGUUGGGAAGCGCACUCAUGACAGCUUGUUGUUUAACCAUUACGAGAUAUGGUUUGAAUUUCGGAGGCCAAAAAUUUAGAUCUUAAUGGCGCAGGAAGAUAGACAAGUUGGUUUCUGUUUUGCAAUUUUGGAUGUGUGAAGCAAAAAAGCAUGCCAUGCUCUGCACGGUAAUGAGUUUUGGCUUUGGACUGAAACCAGUGUUCGGCCGGCUCUGAGUUGAAGCAUGUGAACAAAGUUCAUGGUGGGAAGGUACCAUUGUGCUGAAGUCCCAUUACAUUUUGUUGCAAUUUUGGAUGUGUGAAGAAAAAAUCAAACCAUGCCCUGUACACAAAUGAGUUUUGACUUUGGAAUGGGAUCAAUGUUUACUCAGCUCUGAGUUGAAGAAUGUGCACAAAGUUGAUGACGGGAAGGUACCAUUUUGCUGGAGUCCCAUUACAUUUUUAUGACUGGUUGUUGAAGCCUUUAGCUUUUGUUACCACCAAAUCGGCUGUACUGUAUAAUCUUAGUAAUGUCUGGAGAAAAAAUCGGUGGUUGAGGUCAAACAGAUAUGCUAUACAUUUUGUAGCCCAACAGCUUCCUACAACGGUCAAGCGGCAAUUACCACGUAAGAUCUGUGGCAAGGGUAACUCUGUAUUUAGUGAAAGGCCUGCCGAUGAGUUCUGAAACACACUUUGUUAUGCUAUAGUAGGAGUAUCUGGUAAAUAGUUUGAUGCCUAUGCAUCUAUAUUUAUUAUUCAUUCAUUAUCUACCUUGGCAGUGGUACUAUCUCUUUUACGUGGGGACUAAAAGUGAACAUAUCUGAUUUUCAGCUUUGCUUCCUGCCUUGUCAAAAUUAGGAUUGUAUCACCUUUCUGUCAUUUAUAUCUGUGCACCUGCUUGCCAUAAGAACACUCGUAUCUAUGCAGUUGCAUUACAUUUUGUCUUAGUUGUUAGUGCUGGUGACCACUCAUCUUCAUCAGUACUUCUGAUUUGUUUAUGAUGAUGUGGAGCGAAGCCCAAUUAUUCUUCAAUUCUUAUUUUUAUUGCACAUUAUUUUUUUAAUCAGCAUGAUCUUAUUCUGUAUGUUAUGAUGUUAUCCACAUCCUGCUUUCCAUGUUUUCUCAUGUAGAAUUUCCUGUGUGAUUUCAUAAAUGGCAUGCCAGUCUAUAAGUAUAAUGACAGUGUUUGGUGACUGGUUACAAUGUUUUUUCUGUUCUGUUAGCAAUGACAUAUAGUGCCAAAAAGCCUGAGUGAGGCCAAAACUGUUUUAUGUACUCCGCAGCAAACAUUUAGUCCCAGGGGGCUAGGGGAGUCCAUCAUUGAUUAUGAAUCAUCUCUCUGAUUAUAAAUGCAGAGAUCUUUUAGUAUCCCGCCACCAGCCACCAAGUUAUUGCGAACCUGAAAAUGGGUCUCUUGGUUCCAAAAGAAUCCACCAAGUUAAGCUGAAGUGUAGUGGCUAAGAGUGGACAUAUCUGUUCACCUUUCUUCCUUCCUUGCUUGUCAAAAUUAGGAUAUACUCUCUCCGUUCCAAAAUAUAAGGUGUAUUAGUUUUUUCAAAAGUCAAUCAUGUGCAUGUUGGACCAAGUUUUUAGAAAAAAGUAUCAAUAUCCACAGUACCAAAUUUGUAUCAUUAGAUCCAUCAGGAAUAGUAUUUUCAUAUUUUACUUAUUUUGUAUUGUACAUUUUGAUAUUUUAUGAAAACUGUUGCACCUUAUAUUCUGGAACAGAGGGAGUAUCACUUGUCUGCCAGUCAUCUUUGUUUCCCUGCUUGCCACAAGACCAUUCAUACAUAUGCGGUUGAAAUACACUUUUAUUUUACGUGGUAUCUAAGACAACCCAUCUGUCAGUAUUUAUGAUUUUCUAUGAUGAUGUUUAGUGAUGCCCAAUGAUCCUACAUUCACCAUUAGUUGCAAUUUUGUAAGUGUCAAAAAACAUCUUAUAUUUUGAUACAUAGGAAGUAUGUAUAUGAAGCAAAAAAGCAAGCCAUGUUGCCCUGUACAUAAUGAGUUUUGACUUUGGACUGGGAUCAAUUUUUUUUCAGCUCUGAUUUGUAGAAUGUGCACAAAAUUCAUCACGGGGAGGUACCAUUGUGCCGGAGUGCCAUUACAUUUUGGUGAGUGGUUGCCGAAGUCUUUAGCUUUAGUAACCAGCAAUUAUUGGCUGUACUGUAAUCUUAGUAAUGUUUCUUUUCGAGUAGCUGAGUUCAAACUGAUAUGUUAUGCAUUUUUUUAGCCCAACAGCUUCCUACAAUGGUCUAGCAGCAAUUAUCACGCAAGGUUUGUGACAAUGAUAACUCUGUAUUUAACGAUUUGGCUAUCUGAUCAAUGAGUUUUGAAAUACACUUUGUUAUGCUGUAGUAUCUUGGUGAAUAGUUAGAUGCCUAUGAGCAUCGAUAUUCGUUAUCCAUUAUCCACCUUGGCAUUGGUCAUAUCCUCGGACAGUAAUAUCUCUUUUUGUGGUGACUGAAGGUGAGCAUAUCUGAUUUUCAGCUUGCUUCCUGCCUUGUCAAAAUUAGGAUUGUGUGCCUGCUUGCUGCAAGACCAAUUCGUUGCAUGCGGUUGCAUUACAUUUUGUCCUAGUGGUUGGUGCCGGUGAUCACCCAUCUUUAUUAGCACUUAUUAUGUUUUAUUGAUGGUGAUGUGGAGUGCAGCCCAGUCAUUGCUCUGUUACCACUAGUGUUGCACAUCUAUAGCUAUUAACCAGCAUGAUCUU